rnacentral:lncRNA from 1 species
AAGGGUUGUACUUCAUGCAUCGAGCUGGUUACUGGCAUUCGCCUGCUCUUUGCUCACACUUCUGAAGCACUCGAAGUGUUUGCACUCCUUGCAUUGAGUUAGCUACUAUGAUUCACCUUCUCAAUGCCAUCAAACUUCUGGAAUGCAGGAAGUUUUCACCCCAACUUGGAGUAAGUCUCUAAUAGUUUUGGUCGCCUCUGGGAUUGUACCGUCUUCUCCAUCAACCCUGCCGCCAACUCCACUGAGUA